AUGCAAGCUUCUUCCAGAUCCAGCUCCAUGGAGAGGACCAGCCAGUGGGUGUCGUCGCAGGACGUACCAACGGACCUCGUCGUCCGGGUCGCCGGCGCCGCCUUCCCUCUUCAUAAGGCGGUGAUGGUGCCCAAGUGUGGCUACAUCCGCAAGGCCGUCGCCAUGGCCACGCGCCCCGACCCCGCGUCGACCGUCGAGAUCGAGCUCGACGGCCUGCCGGGCGGCGCCGACGCCUUCGAGAAGGCCGCGCGUUACUGCUACGGCGCCAACUUCGAGAUAUCCGCUCGCAACGCCGCCGCCCUCCUCUGCGCCGCCGCGUUCCUCGACAUGCAGCCGGCCGACGGCGGCCUCGCGCGCCGCGUGGAGGAGUUCCUCGCGCAGGCGGGUCUCCGGACGCUGCCCAACGCGAUCGCGGUGCUGCGGUCCUGUGAGGGCCUGCUCCUCACGGCCACCGAGGAGCUCGGCGUCGCCCGGCGAGCGGCCGACGCCGUGGCCCUGCGGGUCUGCAACGAGGUGCUUUUCCCGACGCGGUCGCCGCCGGAGUGGUGGGCGUCGGAGCUCGCAGCUCUCUCGCCAGCGUCGUUCCACAGGGUCUUUACGGCGCUGCGCUGCCGACGCGCCGGUCCUGAGGUGCUCGUCGCCGCGGCCACCGCCUACGCCGAGCUCCUGCUGGCCGACGGCAAAGCUUCCGACCACCGCGCGCUCCUCGAGUCCGUUGUCGCCGUGCUCCCUUCAGCGGACGACGCGCCCCUUCCCGCAGCGUUCCUCUGCCGCCUCCUGCACGACGCCGUCACCACCGAGGCCUCGGCCAAGACGUGCCGCGACCUGGAGCUCCGCCUCGCGGCCGUGCUCGACCAGGCUACCGCGGGUGACCUGCUCGCCUUGGCGCUCGAUGGCGCUGGUGAGUGCGUCAUUAACACCGAAUCGCUCCGGCGUGUCAUCGCCGCAUUUGUGGAGCGCGAGUCCGGUGCCGGGCGGAACAGGAGGGCGUCGCUGUCCGGAGCGGCGGCGCUGGGCGCAGGGGCGCUGCAGAAGGUGGCCAAGAUGGUGGACGAAGUGGCGGCGGAGAUCGCGACGGACGAGUCCCUACCGAUCUCCAAGUUCGUGGGCGUCGCCGGCGCUGUGCCCAAGGACGCCCGCGCCACCCACGACUGCCUCUACCGCGCCGUGGACAUCUACCUCAAGGCGCAUCCGGAGCUGGACGAGAUCGAGCGGGAGAAGGUGUGCAGCGUCAUGGACACCCUGAAGCUCUCCUACACGGCGCGCCUCCACGCCUCCCAGAACAAGCGCCUGCCGCUCCAGGCCGUGCUCAGCGCACUCUACUACGACCAGCUCAAGCUCCGCAGCGCCGGCGUCGGCCACGACGAUGAGGAUAACGAUGCGCGGUCGGAGGCCGGGUCGGCGCGCAUGCAGGCAAAGGCGGACGCGGCGCUGGCGCGGGAGAACGAGGCACUGCGGUCGGAGCUGGCCCGGAUGCGGGCGCACAUGUCGUCCGGCGUGCAGCAGAGCAAGGGGAGCGGCUCGAGGACGGCGGCGACGGCGACGGUGGCAGGGAAGAAAGCGAGCUUCUUCGGGUCGAUGUCGCGCACACUGAGCCGGCUGAACCCGUUCAGGGCCGGCGGCGGGUGGUCCAAGGACACGUCGAGCAUCCGAGACAGUAGGGGCGGCGCCAUGAAUGUGGUGAAGCCCAGGAGGAGGAGGUCCUCCAUAAGCUAA
rnacentral:rRNA from 1 species